UCUCCAACGCUCGAAUCUGGUUUGGCGAUACAUAAAGUGGGUUCUCAUAUAGGGUAGGACCUCCAAAACUGCCACCAAAUAUCUUGAUUGGAUUUAAACAGAAUCGUGGGCCAACCUCAAUGAGUGUCAUUUUAUCUAGUCCUCCUCGGGCGACUUUAUCAGAUUCAUUAUGUGGUACAGAUAUCUGGUAAUUCCGGAACCAGAUGUGGUCAUCAACAAUGGAGAAAACAAAUACAUGAUCAUGGUAUGGUUUUGAG
rnacentral:misc_RNA from 1 species